CUCCCUCGUUGCUGAUCUCAGGUUCGAUAAUGCCAAAUCGCACCACCUCGCCUAAAACCAACUUCGAUGAUGCGACGGGCGGUGUGUG
rnacentral:rRNA from 1 species